GACGAACGCUGGCGGCGUGCUUAACACAUGCAAGUCGAACGAAGUGGCGAACGGGUGAGUAACGCGUAAUCAACCUGCCCUUCAGAGGGGGACAACAGUUGGAAACGACUGCUAAUACCCCAUACUGAAGGAGGGGAUUGCGUCUGAUGAGCUGGUUGGAGGGGUAACGGCCCACCAAGGCGAUGAUCAGUAGCCGGGCUUGGAGGAUGAACGGCCACAAUGGGACUGAGACACGGCCCAGACUUCUACGGGAGGCAGCAGUGGGGAAACUUCCGAAAUGGACGAAAGUCUGACGGAGCAACGCCGCGUGAGUGAUAACGGCCGUCGGGGUGUAAAGCUCUGUUAAUCGGGACGCGGUACCGGAAGAAGAAGCCACGGCUAACUACGUGCCAGCAGCCGCGGUAAUAC
rnacentral:rRNA from 1 species